GCCCACAGAAUCGACGGUCUGACCUGCCCACUGAAAUUUAAAUGGCCGCAGUAUAUUAACUGUGCAAAGGUAGCAUAAUCAUUAGUCUUUUAAUUGAAGGCUGGUAUGAAUGGUUGGACGAAAUAUUAACUGUUUCAAAUAAAUUUAUUAUAGAAUUUUAUUUUUUAGUCAAAAAGCUAAAAUUUAAUUAAAAGACGAGAAGACCCUAUAAAUCUUUAUAUUUUAAUUUAUUUUAAUUAUGUAGAAUCCUUAUAUUUAAUUAAAUUAAAAUAUUUUAUUGGGGUGAUAUUAAAAUUUAACAAACUUUUAAUUUUAUUUAAUCAUUAAUAUAUGAAUAGAUGAUCCAGUUUUAUUGAUUAAAAAUUUAAGUUACUUUAGGGAUAACAGCGUAAUUUUCUUGGAGAGUUCUUAUCGAUAAGAAAGAUUGCGACCUCGAUGUUGGAUUAAGAGAUAUAUUUAGGUGUAGCCGCUUAAAUGUUAAGUCUGUUCGACUUUUAAAUUCUUACGUGAUCUGAGUUUCAGACCGGA
rnacentral:rRNA from 1 species